GAAGUGGAGGAUAAAGUGGCAGAGUGCAAGAUAAAGUGUUUGGAGAGUCGAUCUCUGCUCCAUCAUUUUGGGGACUAUUUAUAGGUGUGGUCCCAUGUUAAGUAACAUUAACGUGGCGGAUUCGCUAUCAGACCAUCAUUGUAGGACCCAUGGGGUGGAUGUCCAUGAUGGGACGAGUAUCCUUGUGAUAGAAUGUAUUUUGUCAUUCCUUUUAAUUCAUUGUACAAAAUGGUUGAACGCAUGUUAAGUUUGUGACCUAAAGGAUCACGUUCUUAACAAAAGACUGAGUGCCUGAAGGAACGAGUGGUGGUCUCCUUUCGUAAAGAACAAGUGACUUUUUUCCUCGAGCAACUGCCUCCUACCAAGCCGGAUAGCUAAGUCGGAAGGUAGAGCUUCUGAUGGUCUCUUGGUUCUUCUUGGGUGGGGACACUCCUCAAAUGACCUAUCGCACUGUAACGUAUCCUAAGUUAAAAGAGGUAUAACAAAUUCCCAUGCUCAUGAGACAAAUCUAUGAUUGUAUCAACAAAUUCAACAGAAUUAACGUGAAUUAUUACGCAUAUAUAAUAAAUAAUCAUUAAGAAAGAAAACUGUUCUACAUUUAGACAUUGGGUAUUGAUUAAUAUCCCUACCAGAGUCUGUGAACCACAGCCAUAAGAAUGAAGUUCAUAAAUUAUACCAACCUAAUUUGGGACUCAUAACAAGUAGCAUAUCUCCAUCUUGCAGCAGGGAAAUCAAUUUUAUUGCCAUCCUUAAUUAAUGAACAUUUGUGGUGAGACCCCCCGGGUAGAGACCCUAGUGGCCCAGUCAAAUACUUGUUUUGUAAGCAAGCAGCUGUAUCAUAAUACUUGGCAAUCCCUGAUGCCAUACCAGUGUUAUCAACAAACUUGCCGUCGCCAUCACUGUUACCACCUUGGUCUGCUAGGAAGGAAUAUCAUCAAUUAUUUUCCCCACCACCUUAUAAAUUUAGGUGAACUGCCAAAUACUCUGAUAAUUAUUAGUCAUUUAUAUAUGUGGAAUCAAUGGCUUUCUAGGAUAUAUAUAUUUUUUAUGAAAAAAAAUAAAUUAAUAUAGAUUUAAUGUAACAUUUGGUAUUUGAGUUUGACAUUAUUUUUUAACGUGAUAUUUGUCUUAAUUUUUGGUCCAAUCCAGUAUAUGUAUUUGUCAAAAGUUAUAUAUUUUUAUAUCCAAAGUUAAGGGUGUUAACUUUUAUUUAAUUCAAGUUUUAGGGUAAUUUGAUGAAAGUUAAUUGUUAAUAUUAUUAAGUUUGAAUUUUUUAUAUUUUCGUUAAUAUAAUAAAAUGAUGGUUAAUUGUGAAUUUAUUUAAUUUUGUGUUUAAUUUCAAGUUUCAAGGUUGGUUUGAUGAAAGUUAAUUGUUAAUAUUAUUAGCUAAUUAUGAAUUUUCAUCAAAUAAACUCUAAAACUCGAAUUAAAUAUUAAAAAAUUAACACGGCCACUUUUAGGUAUCAAAAUGUACAACGUUUGUCAAAUAUAGAUAUCACAUUAGAGAAAAUAACGCAAGUAUCACAUGAAAAAAAUGUAAAAUUUAAAAAUCGCGAUUCAUAUAAUAUAAGUUCAUGAACUUAGCAUGGUGAUAGAUGAAGCUAAAGCAAAGUCCUCAUCCACUAAAUAAUUUGAGAAAUGAUUGGCUUUCAUUUUGGUAUGUGGAAGAAGGUAUUAUUAGAAGACCCCACAGAGCAAAACGAUACACACCCAUCAUAAAAUUUUACAACAACUCAAUAAUUGCCCAAAAAUUGAAACUCAUCUUGGUAGGGUUUCAUAGUCUUUACUCAUUUUUGUUAAAAGGGAAAGGUUAGAGGGAACCAAUUUGUUAUUACAUCUUUUUAUUUCAUGGCAGUCCUUCUUCUUUGAUUCAUUGCCAUUGAAAAAGUUCAAAAUUUGUGGAUGAGAAACAGUAUACUAGACUCAACUACUUCACAACAAACUACAAUUUAAUAUUCAAAGUUCCAAUACUGUAUGUGUCAUGGACACUAAUCCAAUGUCAUAUUUGUGUUAUGAAUUUAACAUAUUCAUAUUAUAUUUAUAUUUACAAAACUAAUAAAAACUUAUGUUAUUAUAUCUCUACCUCAUUUACUCAAAAACAUUUUUCUAAAGUAUGAUUUUAUUAUAUGUAGAUCUCAUUAUAUAUAUCUAGUUUGAUUAAGGGUGAAUUUGGACGGACAAUACGUUUACUUGCGAUUAGUAUAAAAAUAGCUGUGACAGUAAGAUUAGAUACUAUAAUAAUACUAUAGCGUGAAAGAAAAAGUAUGCUAAACGCACCGCACCCGAUCGCCCAUCCAAACCCAUCCUAAGCAUGUAAUACCACAAGCAAAAGAGAAGCUAGCCAGAAGCCAAAAGUGGGCUAAUUAAAAAAGCAUAUUAAAAGGUGUACCCAUGGAUCUUUCUCAUGGAUGAAAUUCAAAAAGUGUGUUCUACCAAAAAAAAAUUCCACUAAGAUCACAUGGAAAACUUCUAGAUCCCAAAAAUUAUUAAUACCUUUUCGGACCUUAUAUGGCAUGAACCACACACAAUCUGCACCUCUCAUAUUUUAUGCAUCAAGGUAUCAUAUGGCAACUCUUGACACCACUCUAUUGUAAGUGUUAUAGGCCAAUUUUGGGCCAUUUACAAUGCCCUCAGCCCAGUUUCAUUUACAUUAAACUAAUAUCUAUCCAAGUUAACCCAAAUUGAACCUAAAACUACCCAAACCCAUUAACUACCCACAGCCCGUUUACAAUAUUCAGCCCAAGUAACCUAAACCCAAAUACUCAACCCAAGCUCAGGAGCCCAACUUUAGACUUAGGGUUUCAGAAACUGAAACCCUAACCUUCCCACUUGCGCCGAACCUACCCACCUACCCCCAUCGACAAAGUCACCUCAGCGCCGCAACACCCAUGCCAUGGCCACCAACUCUCCCUACUUACCCUCUGUCACCGGACUGCUCCACUUGCACAAACAAGACACACAGCAGAAGAUAGAUAUAGAUAGUGUAACCAAAAUGGCUACAAAAAGGCCGAUUAAAAAGCUUUGUGGUUGUUGGAUUUUUAUUGAAAUAAUACAAGAAUAACAUCAAAAGCAAACAAAUAGUGCAAAGUCAGAUUCAAACAUCACGAAUCAGAGAGCCGAAAUACAAAAUCCAGGGUGAUUUUAAUUUCAAUUUUGUUUCUUUUUCUCACACAUACAUAUUAAAACAAGUACAAAAUUAUAACAAAAACACAAAAAACGAAAAAAAGAGAAAAAUCUUACCUCUACGGCCACCGUGUACAGUGGCCGGCGCCGGCGCCAGCGAGGCUCCGGUGGCCGGACCCUUGGCCGGAGUCCCACCGGAAAUCGCUCUGUCCUCACACUCUCUUUUUUUUUUCUUUCCCAACCCCAAAU
rnacentral:lncRNA from 1 species